GGGUUCCGAAGCUCAGAGGGCAGAGCGCCGAGCUCCAGACUCGGAGGCUGUGGGUUCGAUCCCCACCGAGCCCG
rnacentral:tRNA from 1 species